AGCCUGAACGCUGGCGGCGUGGCUAAGACAUGCAAGUCGAACGGGUGUAGCAAUACACCAGUGGCGGACGGGUGAGUAAUGUAUCGCUAACGUGCCCUAGAGCCAGGGAUAGCUGUCCGAAAGGGCAGGUAAUACCUGAUGAAAUAACCGUGUCGCAUGACGUGGUUCUCAAAGCAGCAAUGCACU
rnacentral:rRNA from 1 species